rnacentral:lncRNA from 1 species
UCUCUGGGGUACAAUUUUGGCCAAAAGAGAGGUGCGGAGUUCACUAGAGGUUGCCUAAGAGGGUUACGUGACCAAAGGAAGCCGCUGGGCAGCGAGAGUCCCAAAGCAUCCAGAGGGGAAAAGAGAGGUCCUAAGAGAGCUAGAGGGCCAAAAGAGGGCUCUGGGGCACCUAGAGUAGACUAGGGUUAGAAGGCACAAAAAAAAGGCACUAAGGGCCACAAUCAAGGCAAAAGGAGUGAUCCAGAUGGGACUCGAAGGGUUCUAGGAAAGCUAAAAGGCCAACAGAGGGCUCCUGCACAAUCAAGGCCAAAAGACGGGUACUGAGGGAUUUAGAUAGGUCCUAAGGGAGCUGCUGGACCCAAAGAGGGCUCCGGGGCACUACCAACACCUCAGGAGGAGUUCUGAGGGUACUAGAGGGUUCCUAAGGACUCUACGCACCCAAGAGAGCCUCUGGAGCAGAAGGGAGACCAACGGAGGGCUUCUGAGAGGAUUGCAGCAGUCCUAGGGUGACUAGACAUCAAAGAGAGGCCUCCAGGGCACAGUGAAGGCUUUAGGAGCAGUUUUGAGUUAAUUAGAUUGGAAGAUGGAAGGGUGUGGAGAACACAGGCUUCUAGGGUGCCUGAAAAACAGAGGAGUUUCUGAAGGGAGUGGAGGGUAAUUGAGAGGGUGUGAGGCAUACUAAAAGGAAACAGAGAAACAUGGUAUGCGCUAAGAGGCAAACAAGGAGGUCAGAAAGGGAUCUGAGAGAAACAGAGCUCCCAAGAAGGAGCUGAGGUGGGAUUUGAGGCUAUUUAGGGGGGGGGUGCUGAAGCACAAUGAGGGCCAGUAGUUUUGAGACCACAUGCCGCAUGGAUUUAUUUUCAGCGGACUAGAGGACGUGGCACACAGAACAACAUGGCUGCCUGGAAGGCCAGUACCGGAAUACUACUGCUCCCGGCACGCCGCGGGCCUCGGCGUUUGAAGUGCAGCAGAGCAUGAAGACGCGCACUAGAAUCACGUGACAGUUGACACUUAUUGACCUGGUGUUAGCCACCAUUGAAACGUGAGCACGUGCAAGACUCGCUGCCCAGGAGUGCGCUAAGCUGCUCUUCCGCUGAACCUGCCUGAAACAGCGCACCCGCUAAUGCAUCUGCGCUACAAUUUACUUCCUAUUUUCAGUCUUCUCAGCUCCCCAGGCAGACACCCAGAACCAGUGACGUCUAAUACCAACCAGUCUUUCCUUGAGGAAAGUGGUACCUGCUAAGAGAAAGAGGGAUUUGCGACACUCAGCAACCCUCUUCCUGCAGUUAUUAACGACACCUCCAAAAAUCUUUUCCUCUGGCCAGUAAAUUGCACCCUAAAAAAAAUCCAGGAAAUACCUCACAGUGGCCAGAACUAGGGCAAAACAUUGCAGCCUGGAAACCAUUUUUUGUGGCAUAGAACAGGCAUGUUUUUAAGCCC